UGAAUGUCAGUGCUUCAAGAAAAGCUAAACCUGUGUCGGACGCUCCCACGACCACGAUUCUGGCAUUGACGGUGACCUUCGGCUCCAUGCAGACCAUCUACUGAUGAGAUUUGCAACUUAUAUGGAUCAAAAUCUCUGAUGAAUGUUUCCAGCACCUUGUUGAAUCAAUGACAUGAAGAAUUAAGCCAGUUCUGAAGGCAAAAGUGGGUCCAACCGGAUACUAGCCAGGUGUACCUAAUAAAGUGGCUGCAGGCCUACAUCUGCUGUAAAGAUGGCAAAGAAGACGUGUGGAAAUCAAUGGCAGACUGUGAAAGUGUUUGAAAACGGUAAAGCCAGCACAGGUGUGUCCGUAUCAAACACUGUUGGACAUGCAGGACUUCUAUACAGACACAAUGCCCUUCGUAACACAACACUCUAUUGACGAAGACCGAACAGGUGCUUUAACUCUGAUUAAUUCAUCUGAACCAGACGGAGGAUUAACGCAGUCAUUGCGCUCUUAUCUGCAGGGCUGCCUGGACACCGGCGUUGCUGCGCUACCAAAUGGAGCUUUCUAAAGUGGACUGAAGGGAGAGAAAUCUUCUGCCCACCUUAUAGCUGUAAUGGGGUGGAUGGAGGAGGUAAUAGAGGCAUGACUUGUGUGCCAAGCGCAGCACCUCCUUGAAGAUAUAUUUAGCGUGAUGCUGGAAAACAAGGUUGAGGAGAAAGUGACACAGUCGACCGUGUUCCUCUCGCUGCUGAUGGCUGAAGUACACGAACCUCUCGACGUCAAAGUUGGCUCGGAUGAACUCAAUGUCCUGGGAGAACGAAACGGUUGAUGGUAAGAAACAGAAAACACCAUGACACACGUCAUUAAAUAUUUACCUCUUCAUCUCUGAUGAUUAUCAGACCAAUAACUCGCCCCUCGACCUGCGCCACAAAUGCCUGGAGGGCACUUCCACCCUGAGAAUGAGAAGCAAUGCUCAGACAUCACAAACACAGCUCUGUCGACGGACUGAGGCAGUCUAGCGUGGGGUUGGGGGGCAGACCUGGUCUUUUCGGGCCUGCAGGAACAGAUCCAGAUCUUCACUGAUGGACUCCCGCUGGCUGAGACUCUCAGUCAAACUCUGGAUUGCUGGGAUAUCUGAUGACACUGCCACACGCACCUCCAACGUCCUGACGGGCAGAAACAUAUUAGUCUGACACAUGAAUCCAAACUGUUCUUUGGCUUCAGAAGAUUCCUGGGCAUCAGUGACAUGGUUUUCCUCCUCCUGAGUGUGCGAUUCUUCUGGUGGUUCCUCUUGAUGUGCUGGAUUUGUCUUUCUCAGUCCUUCAAAUGCUCCAAGCUCAUAGCACUGAUUGAGAAGCUUCAAAUCCAUUUGACCACUCACAGCGACAAAGCCUACGACAGCUCCUUCACUCUGUCGCCCCCUAUGGAGAAACCAGGCUGAGCCACAAAAAGACGCAGGAAAAGAGUGUUCAUGGGCUGGAAAAAAGAGAAACAACACCAUCAGAAGAUGGAUGACAUUGAGUCUCCCAAACACAGCAACAGCUGCAGGCCUGAUCAGACGAUCUAUCUCUUCAGCAUCCGACCAUUCUGUCCUCC